CUGGUUGAGUUGCAGCUGCAGGCUUUGGCUUUUCGCAGCAGCACAGGCAUGCCGUGAGCGCUCGUACCACACGAGGGCGCCAACUGAACGGGGCUCACUCG
rnacentral:RNase_MRP_RNA from 1 species